AGUGAACGCUGGCGGCAUGCCUAACACAUGCAAGUCGAACGGCAGCACGGGGCAACCUGGUGGCGAGUGGCGAACGGGUGAGUAAUACAUCGGAACGUGCCCAGUCGUGGGGGAUAACGUAGCGAAAGCCACGCUAAUACCGCAUACGAUCUACGGAUGAAAGCGGGGGACUCGCAAGAGCCUCGCGCGAUUGGAGCGGCCGAUGGCAGAUUAGGUAGUUGGUGGGGUAAAGGCUCACCAAGCCUGCGAUCUGUAGCUGGUCUGAGAGGACGACCAGCCACACUGGAACUGAGACACGGUCCAGACUCCUACGGGAGGCAGCAGUGGGGAAUUUUGGACAAUGGGCGCAAGCCUGAUCCAGCCAUUCCGCGUGCAGGAUGAAGGCC
rnacentral:rRNA from 1 species